AUGGCGAUCGCAGCAUCGACCCGCGAACCAGGCUACUAUGGGCCGACACGCCGAUGCGACAGCCGGCUGCGCGAGCUGUUCCCGGAGGAGCGCCUGUCGCGCGACGGAUUCGAGGUUUUAGACGGGCUCCUCACAUGCGACCCCAGCGAGCGUCUGCCGGCGGCCGUGGCGCUCCAGUGCCCGUGGUUCACUGGCACCGCCUACGUCCCUGCCUCUGCUGGCUGCGUAGGAUGCAUGCUCUACCACCAUUCUGCAUCAUCACUUCGGAGUCCAUUUCUGGUCCUCGAGGGUACAAAGAUGAUAUGUUUUGUAAUGUAA
rnacentral:rRNA from 1 species